rnacentral:rRNA from 1 species
GACGAACGCUGGCGGCGUGCUUAACACAUGCAAGUCGAACUGAAAGGCCCUGCUUUUGUGGGGUGCUCGAGUGGCGAACGGGUGAGUAACACGUGAGUAACCUGCCCUUGACUUUGGGAUAACUUCAGGAAACUGGGGCUAAUACCGGAUAGGAGCUCCUGCUGCAUGGUGGGGGUUGGAAAGUUUCGGCGGUUGGGGAUGGACUCGCGGCUUAUCAGCUUGUUGGUGGGGUAGUGGCUUACCAAGGCUUUGACGGGUAGCCGGCCUGAGAGGGUGACCGGCUACACUGGGACUCAGAUACGGCCCAGACUCCUACGGGAGGGAGAAGUGGGGAAUAUUGCACAAUGGGCGGAAGCGUGAUGCAGCAACGCCGCGUGCGGGAUGACGGCCUUCGGGUUGUAACCCGCUUUCGCCUGUGACGAAGCGUGAGGGACGGUAAUGGGUAAAGAAGCACCGGCUAACUACGUG